GUGCUCACUUCCUCAGCACAUACACUAAAAUUGGAAUGAUAUAGAGAAGAUUAGCAUGGCCCCUGGCAAGGAUGACAUGCAAAUUCAUGAAGCGUUCCAUUUUUUU